GAGGGUAUAGCUCAGUGUUAGAGUGCAUGACUAGUAUGCACAAAGUCCUGGGUUCAAACCCUAGUACCUCCA
rnacentral:tRNA from 1 species